rnacentral:rRNA from 1 species
AUUGAACGCUGGCGGCAGGCCUAACACAUGCAAGUCGAGCGGAUGAGGGGUGCUUGCUUCUGGAUUUAGCGGCGGACGGGUGUGUAAUGCCUAGGAAUCUGCUUGGUAGUGGGGGAUAACGUCCGGAAAUGGCCGCUAAUACCGCAUACGUCCUGAGGGAGCAAGUGGGGGAUCUUCGGACCUCACGCUCUCAGAUGAGCCUAGGUCGGAUUAGCUAGUUGGUGGGGUAAAGGCCUACCAAGGCGGCGAUCCGUAACUGGUCUGAGAGGAUGAUCAGUCACACUGGAACUGAGACACGGUCCAGACUCCUGCGGGAGGCAGCAGUGGGGAAUAUUGGACAGUGGGCGAAAGCCUGAUCCAGCCAUGCCGCGUGUGUGAAGAAGGUCUUCGGAUUGUAAAGCACUUUAAGUUGGGAGGAAGGGCAGUAAGUUAAUACCUUGCUGUUUUGACGUUACCAACAGAAUAAGCACCGGCUAACUUCGUG